GAUGAACGCUGGCGGCGUGCUUAACACAUGCAAGUCGAACGGUGAAGGCGGAGAUUGCUCUGCUGGAUCAGUGGCGAACGGGUGAGUAACACGUGAGCAACCUGCCCCUGACUCUGGGAUAAGCGCUGGAAACGGCGGCUAAUACUGGAUACGAGCUGCGAAGGCAUCUUCAGCAGCUGGAAAGAACUUCGGUCAGGGAUGAGCUCGCGGCCUAUCAGCUUGUUGGUGAGGUAACGGCUCACCAAGGCGUCGACGGGUAGCCGGCCUGAGAGGGUGACCGGCCACACUGGGACUGCGACACGGCCCAGGCUCCUACGGGAGGCAGCAGUGGGGAAUACUGCACAAUGGGCGUGAGCCUGAUGCAGCAACGCCGCGUGAGGGACGACGGCAUGCGGGUUGUAAACCUCUUCUGGCAGGGAAGAAGCGAUAGUGACGGUACCUGCAGAAAAAGCGCCGGCUAACUACGUG
rnacentral:rRNA from 1 species